rnacentral:lncRNA from 1 species
GGAGGCACGCGCGCGGCUGAGGCGAGGUCGCUCGGCGCAGCUGUUGCGGGGCCAUGGCGGGGACCGCGCUCAAGAGGCUGAUGGCCGAGUACAAACAAUUAACACUGAAUCCUCCGGAAGGAAUUGUAGCAGGCCCCAUGAAUGAAGAGAACUUUUUUGAAUGGGAGGCAUUGAUCAUGGGCCCAGAAGACACCUGCUUUGAGUUUGGUGUUUUUCCUGCCAUCCUGAGUUUCCCACUUGAUUACCCGUUAAGUCCCCCAAAGAUGAGAUUUACCUGUGAGAUGUUUCAUCCCAACAGUAAGUGCUUUUGGAAGUAGUUUUUGUGGUACCAGGAUAGGUACGGAGAUAAUAUUAUCAGCCACCUGAAAUGUGGUAUAUUCUAUAUGUCUAUGAUGUAGAUCUUUAGAAAACACUUCUUAUGUUUUGAAAUUCAGCCAAGUAAGCAUGGUGGUAUUAAGCACAUGAUUUCAAUUUUGAAGGUCAGUUUAAUAUAGAUAAAAGACAACAGGCACCUAAAACCGGAUGCCAUUUGACCCAGCCACCCUACUUCACUGGGGAGGAAGUUUUACACAUGGGUGUGUGCUCAGAAGGGGUUAUGCUAAUCUUUGUCAUAGUGUUAUUUGUAAUGGUGAAAAUUUUGACUUAACCUGGGUUUUUAACACAAGAAUAAAUUAAGUUAUAUAUUGUAUUAGUCUGUUGUCACGCUGCUAAUAAAGACAUAUUCAAGUCUGGGUAAUUUAUAAAGGAAAGAGAUUUAAUGGA